rnacentral:rRNA from 1 species
UACGAACUGUGCGAACGUUAUUCGGAAUCACUGGGCUUACAGGGUGCGUAGGCGGCUUGUUACGUAGGGUGUGAAAGCCCCCGGCUCAACCGGGGAAUUGCGCCCUAAACUGGCGAGCUGGAGUGAGAUAGGGGUGUGUGGAACUUCCGGUGGAGCGGUGAAAUGUGUUGAUAUCGGAAGGAACGCCGGUGGCGAAAGCGACACACUGGAUCUUGUCUGACGCUGAGGCACGAAAGCCAGGGGAGCGAACGGG